CCCUUAGAUGUUCUGGGCCGCACGCGUGCUACACUGAGUGGAUCAGCGGGUCAGGUUGCGCGAAAGCGUUUCCUAAUCUUUAAAUCCGCUCGUGAUGGGGAUUGACGGUUGCAAUUUUCUGUCAUGAACGAGGAAUACCUUGUAAGCGCGGGUCAUCAUCCCGCGCUGAAUCAGUCCCUGCCCUUUGUACACACCGCCCGUCGCUCCUACCGAUUGAGUGGUCCGGUGAGGCUUUGGGAUCUGAGCGGAAAGAGCGUUUCGCUGUUUCUGCUCGGAAAACUCAGUCGAACCUUAUCAUUUAGAGGAAGGAGAAGUCGUAACA
rnacentral:rRNA from 1 species